rnacentral:lncRNA from 1 species
AUGGACGAGGAGGGAGGGUCUCUACUGGAAUGGCCGUGUCCCAGCAGCGCCUGCAGUUUGCCACGGACCCCUUUUACUGCUAUGAGCCCCCGUUUGGCAUCGGGAAGGAUUUGCUCUACACCCCCCUGCCUGCAUCGGGCCUCGGGGGGGGGGAGCCAGGCCCCUCCUCCAGGAAAAGGAAUCCAGUGCAGAACUUCCCAUUGGUUGGCAAAUGUGAACUGCUGCUGCAUUGAAACGGUCCAAGAAGAGUCACCACCAUUUAAGUGCCAAGAAAAGGCCUUCCACUCUCUGGUACAAGAAGAAUUCGAACAGGAUUUAGUGCAAGAAGAGGAAGAACAGUUGAUGGAAGAAAGGAAAAAGAGAAAAGAAGACAAGAAGAAGAAGGAAGCUGCUCAAAAAAAGGUACGUUGA